rnacentral:misc_RNA from 1 species
CCGUUAGGUCUAGUUCCAGGUUAAAGGCUUCUCCAAUAAGAAGUGAUAGUCCUGAAAUUUCAAUGAUGAUAAACUGUGAAUCGCUGUCCAAACGAGCCUUUACAACAGGUUUGCCAUUCAUCAUUGAACCCUUUGUGAUCCUUAGCUCACGUGCCUUCAAUCUCUCAGCCUUCUCCAACCCUAUGAAACUCACCUUAUCCACUAUCCAUUUC